rnacentral:antisense_RNA from 1 species
GGAGCAGCACGCGCAACCCGAGGCGAGCAUAUCACAGUCUGGAACAGCACCCACACCCUCAGGUGAGAAUCCGACAGCCUGAAGCAGCACCCACACCCCCAGGGGAGCAUCUGACAGUCUGGAGCAGCACCCACACAACCAGGCGAGCAUCGGACAGCCUGGAGCAGCACCCACACCCCCAGGCGAGCAUCCGAUAGCCUGGAGCAGCACCCACACCGCUAGGUGAGCAUCUGAGAGCCUGGAACAGCACCCACACCCCCAGGUGAGCAUCCGACCACCUGGAGCAGCACGCGCAACCCGAGGCGAGCAUAUCACAGUCUGGAACAGCACCCACACCCUCAGGUGAGAAUCCGACAGUCUGAAGCAGCACCCACACCCCCAGGCCGGGAUCUGACAGCCUGGAGCAGCGCCAACACCCACAGGCGAGCAUCUGACAGCCUGGAGCAGCGCCCAGACCCCCAGGCGAGCAGCUGACAGCCUGGAGCAGCGCCCACACCCCCAGGUGAGCAUCUCACUGCCUGGAGCAGCACCCACACCCCCAGGCGAGCAUCUGACCGCACGGAGCAGCACUCACACCCCAGGCGAGCAUCUGACCGCAUGGAGCAGCACCAGCACACCCAGGCGAGCAUCCCACAGCCUGGAGCAGCACCCACAGCCCCAGGCGAGCAUCUGACAGCCUUGAGCAGCAACCACACCCCCAGGCAAGCAUCUGACAACCUGGAGCAGCGCCCACAACCCCAGGCGAGCAUCUGACAGCCUUGAGCAGCAACCACACCCCCAGGCAAGCAUCUGACAACCUGGAGCAGCGCCCACAACCCCAGGCGAGCAUCUGACAGCCUGUAGCAGCGCACAAACCCCCAGGUGAGCAUCUGAGAGCCUGGAGCAGCGCCCACACCCCCAGGCGAGUAUCUGAGAGCCUGGAGCAGCGCCCACACCCCCAGGCGAACAUCUGACCGCAUGUAGCAGCGCCCACACCCCCAGGCGAGCAUCUGACCACAUGUAGCAGCGCCCACACCCCCAGGCGAGCAUCUGACUGCAUGGAGCAGCGCCCACAGCCCCAGGCGAGCAUCCGACAGCCUGGAAAAGUGCCCACAUCCCCAGGUGAGCAUCCGACCGCCUGGAGCAGCGCCCACACCCGUAGGCGAGCAUUCGACAGCCUGGAGCAGCGCCCACACCCCCAGGGGAGCAUCCGACAGCCUGGAGCAGCGCCCACACCCCCAGGGGAGCAUCCGACAGCCUGGAGCAGUGCCCACACCCCCAGGGGAGCAUCCGACAGCCUGGAGCAGCGCCCACACCCCCAGGGGAGCAUCCGACAGCCUGGAGCAGCACCCACACACCCAGGCGAGCAUCCGACAGUCUGGAGCAGCACCCACACCCGCAGGCGAGCAUCCGACAGGCGGGAGGAGCACCCACACCCCCAGGUGAGCAUCUGACAGUCUAGAGCAGCAUCCACACCCCCAGGCGAGCAUCUGACAGCCUGGAGCAGCACCCACACCCCCAGGCGAGCAACUGACAGCCUGGAGCAGCACCCACACCCCCAGGUGAGCAACUGACAGCCUGGAGCAGCACCCACACCCCCAGGUGAGCAUCCGACAGCCUGGAGCAGCAUUCCACAUGCCCAGGUGAGCAUCUGACAGCCUGGAGAAGCACCCACACCCCCAGGUGAGCAUCUGACAGCCUGGAGCAGCACCCAUACCCUCAGGGGAGCAUCUGACAGCCUGCAGCAGCACCCAGAACCCCAGGGGAGCAUCUGACAGUCUGGAACAGCACCCCACACCCCCAGGUGAGCAUCUGAUAUCGUGGAACAGCACCCCACAUCCCCAGGUGAGCAUCUGACAGCCUGGAAC